rnacentral:ncRNA from 1 species
CAGCCAAAGGAAGACAGUGACGCUCCGGGAGGAACGCGGUCACCUUGUACACGUCCCCGAAGCAGAGUCAGUGGUGAGACCGGCCCAUGCGGUC